AAUACUUUGGUGGCGACCGGCGCACGGGUGCGUAACGCGUAUGCAACCUACCUUUAACAGGGGCAUAACACUGAGAAAUUGGUACUAAUUCCCCAUAACGUUCGAGAAGGCAUCUUCUUGGGUUAAAAACUCCGGUGGUUAAAGAUGGGCAUGCGUUGUAUUAGCUAGUUGGUGAGGUAACGGCUCACCAAGGCAACGAUACAUAGGGGGACUGAGAGGUUAACCCCCCACAUUGGUACUGAGACACGGACCAA
rnacentral:rRNA from 1 species